rnacentral:rRNA from 1 species
GAUGAACGCUGGCGGCGUGCCUAAUACAUGCAAGUCGAGCGAACGGACGAGAAGCUUGCUUCUCUGAUGUUAGCGGCGGACGGGUGAGUAACACGUGGAUAACCUACCUAUAAGACUGGGAUAACUUCGGGAAACCGUAGCUAAUACCGGAUAAUAUUUUGAACCGCAUGGUUCAAAAGUGAAAGACGGUCUUGCUGUCACUUAUAGAUGGAUCCGCGCUGCAUUAGCUAGUUGGUAAGGUAACGGCUUACCAAGGCAACGAGGCAUAGCCGACCUGAGAGGGUGAUAGGCCACACUGGAACUGAGACACGGUCCAGACUCCUACGGGAGGCAGCAGUAGGGAAUCUUCCGCAAUGGGCGAAAGCCUGACGGAGCAACGCCGCGUGAGUGAUGAAGGUCUUCGGAUCGUAAAACUCUGUUAUGAGGGAAGAACAUAUGUGUAAGUAACUGUGCACAUCUUGACGGUACCUAAUCAGAAAGCCACGGCUAACUACGUG